AUCCCCCUCCCCCACCCUCACCCCAAAGCCCCCAUUCCCAUCUGGGGCCCCAUGCAGGUCAGGCCCAGCCCCACCCCGUCCGGGUUGCCUUCGCCCUGGGUCUGGGAUGCCUGACUCUUUGCCCCUCCCCUGCAGCUCUUGAGUCCUUUGCCCUCCUCUUCCUGCCAAGUCAGGGGGCCCUGGCUGCUCCCCUGCCCCCUGUCCCGGGGCCCUCGGGAGGCUCCCUGAGGCCUCUGGGAAGGCAGGAGUCUACCAGCCCUCCCCCACCCCAGCUGGGAUCAGGACCUUGGACAGAAAAGAGAUGGGCCCCUUUGGAGCAUCUUUGGGGCUACUCUGUCUCUGACUCCCUGGCCACCUCCUGCAGGCCUCUGCCCCCCCCCCCCCCCCCGGUCAUAGCAAUUGACAGCACCAAACAGUAGCUGUGGGCCCUCAGUUGGGUGAACUUAGUCAAGCUCCGUCCCCGCUCUGAGCCCCAGUUUCCGAUUUGUGAAGCAGAGCCAUCAGUAGCUUCUGCCCGGGGCUCCUCUCAACGAGAAGGGAAAUCAUUCCCGUGAAACCUCAGCACAGCGCCCAGGAAGUAGCGAACCUCCCCAAGAAGGCGCUGUAGGGUAGAGGUCAGGGAGCCCCUGCAGCCCCCAGGCCACCCUUCCUUCUCCCACACCCCGCCCCCCCCGCCCCUACUAGGUGGGAGGUGGGUUGGCCCAGAUCUCUCCAGGCCACCAUUCCUACAAGUUAAUGAUCACAGACCUUAUCAGAGCCUUUCACCAUUUAUAAAUUUAUAAAACAAAAGAGAAAUAAUAAAGCAUGUGGGUAAUUAGUAACUAGGUCAGCUCUGCUGAGGAGAGGGGCGGCAUCGAGCUCAGGACCCACCCAGUUCUCCGGGAGACGGGGAGUCCACCAGCGGAUGGGAUGUGGAACGGGGAGCCUCUAAUGGCGCCUGCUGGUGAGGUGGGGUGCCUGUGGCCGCACAGGAAAGGGGACCAGCUCCCACCUCGAGGCUCUGUCUGCCUCAGAUAAGGAAACCAAGGCAUUAAGAGGAUAAGGAACCUCAUCGGCUAAGGCACAUUUAAGAUUUGAACUUGGAUCUCCGUGAUGCCAGAAUCUAAACCUUGACUAAAUAUUUGUUACUAUUACUUUUGUCGUUGUUCUGGGUAACUCCAACCCUCUGCUCACUGGCCUCGUCACCUCCGUGCUGAUUUCGCAGGUGAAGACACUAAGGUUCCAAGGGGCUAGAGCACAGUGCCUGGGUUUGAGCCUUGCUCUGCCAUUUACCAGCCAUAUGACCUUGGGCAACUUGCUUGACUUC